rnacentral:tRNA from 2 species
GGGUGCGUAGCUCAGUUGGUCAGAGCGCACGGUUCACAUCCGUGAGGUCACAGGUUCGAGCCCUGUCGCGCCCA